AUAGAUCCUGAAACCGUAUGCUUACAAAAAGUAGGAGCCUCGAAAGGGGUGACUGCGUACCUUUUGUAUAAUGGGUCAGCGACUUACAUUCAGUGGCAAGGUUAACCGAAUAGGGAAGCCGUAGAGAAAUCGAGUCCGAAUAGGGCGAAUUAGUCGCUGGGUGUAGACCCGAAACCAAGUGAUCUAUCCAUGGGCAGGAUGAAGGUGCCGUAACAGGUACUGGAGGUCCGAACCGACUAAUGUUGCAAAAUUAGCGGAUGACCUGUGGAUAGGGGUGAAAGGCUAAACAAACUUGGAAAUAGCUGGUUCUCUCCGAAAACUAUUUAGGUAGUGCCUCAAGUAUUACCGUCGGGGGUAGAGCACUGUUUUGGCUAGGGGGUCAUGGCGACUUACCAAACCAAUGCAAACUCCGAAUACCGACGAGUACAGCUUGGGAGACAGAGCACCGGGUGCUAACGUCCGGACUCAAGAGGGAAACAACCCAGACCGCCAGCUAAGGUCCCUAAAAUUGGCUAAGUGGGAAACGAAGUGGGAAGGCUAAAACAGUCAGGAUGUUGGCUUAGAAGCAGCCAUCAUUUAAAGAAAGCGUAAUAGCUCACUGAUCGAGUCGUCCUGCGCGGAAGAUGUAACGGGGCUAAGCCAGUUACCGAAGCUGCGGAUUUGCAAUUUAUUGCAAGUGGUAGGAGAGCGUUCUGUAAGCCUGUGAAGGUGCGUUGUAAAGCGUGCUGGAGGUAUCAGAAGUGCGAAUGCUGACAUGAGUAGCGUUAAAGGGGGUGAAAAGCCCCCUCGCCGUAAGCGCAAGGUUUUCUACGCAACGUUCAUCGGCGUAGAGUGAGUCGGCCCCUAAGGCGAGGCAGAGAUGCGUAGUUGAUGGGAAACAGGUAAAUAUUCCUGUACCGAUGUGUAGUGCGAUGUGGGGACGGAGAAGGUUAGCUCAGCAGACUGUUGGAUAUGUCUGUUCAAGCCUGUAGUCGUGCCUGGUAGGUAAAUCCGCCGGGCUUAGAUGAGGGGUGAUAACGAGGAUGCUUGCAUCCGAAGUGAGUGAUACCCUGCUUCCAGGAAAAGCCACUAAGCUUCAGCUACACACGACCGUACCGCAAACCGACACUGGUGCGCGAGAUGAGUAUUCUAAGGCGCUUGAGAGAACUCAGGAGAAGGAACUCGGCAAAUUGACACCGUAACUUCGGAAGAAGGUGUGCCUUUAGUAUGUGAACCUGAACAAGGGGAGCAGAAUGAGGCCUCAGAGAAUCGGUGGCUGCGACUGUUUAAUAAAAACACAGCACUCUGCAAACACGAAAGUGGACGUAUAGGGUGUGACGCCUGCCCGGUGCUGGAAGAUUAAAUGAUGGGGUGCAAGCUCUUGAUUGAAGUCCCAGUAAACGGCGGCCGUAACUAUAACGGUCCUAAGGUAGCGAAAUUCCUUGUCGGGUAAGUUCCGACCUGCACGAAUGGCGUAACGAUGGCCACACUGUCUCCUCCUGAGACUCAGCGAAGUUGAAAUGUUUGUGAUGAUGCAAUCUCCCCGCGGAAAGACGGAAAGACCCCAUGAACCUUUACUGUAGCUUUGUAUUGGAUUUUGAACAGACCUGUGUAGGAUAGGUGGGAGGCUUUGAAGCCGGAACGCUAGUUUCGGUGGAGCCAACGUUGAAAUACCACCCUGGUGUGUUUGAGGUUCUAACCUAGGUCCAUUAUCUGGAUCGGGGACAGUGCAUGGUAGGCAGUUUGACUGGGGCGGUCUCCUCCCAAAGCGUAACGGAGGAGUUCGAAGGUACGCUAGUUACGGUCGGACAUCGUGAUGAUAGUGCAAUGGCAUAAGCGUGCUUAACUGCGAGACUGACAAGUCGAGCAGAUACGAAAGUAGGACAUAGUGAUCCGGUGGUUCUGUAUGGAAGGGCCAUCGCUCAACGGAUAAAAGGUACUCUGGGGAUAACAGGCUGAUACCGCCCAAGAGUUCAUAUCGACGGCGGUGUUUGGCACCUCGAUGUCGGCUCAUCUCAUCCUGGGGCUGUAGCCGGUCCCAAGGGUAUGGCUGUUCGCCAUUUAAAGAGGUACGUGAGCUGGGUUUAAAACGUCGUGAGACAGUUUGGUCCCUAUCUUCCGUGGGCGCUG
rnacentral:rRNA from 1 species